rnacentral:rRNA from 1 species
GACGAACGCUGGCGGCGUGCUUAACACAUGCAAGUCGAACGGAAAGGCCCUGCUUUUGUGGGGUGCUCGAGUGGCGAACGGGUGAGUAACACGUGAGUAACCUGCCCUUGACUUUGGGAUAACUUCAGGAAACUGGGGCUAAUACCGGAUAGGAGCUCCUGCAUCAUGGUGGGGGUUGGAAAGUUUCGGCGGUUGGGGAUGGACUCGCGGCUUAUCAGCUUGUUGGUGGGGUAGUGGCUUACCAAGGCUUUGACGGGUAGCCGGCCUGAGAGGGUGACCGGCCACAUUGGGACUGAGAUACGGCCCAGACUCCUACGGGAGGCAGCAGUGGGGAAUAUUGCACAAUGGGCGGAAGCCUGAUGCAGCAACGCCGCGUGCGGGAUGACGGCCUUCGGGUUGUAAACCGCUUUCGCCUGUGACGAAGCGUGAGUGACGGUAAUGGGUAAAGAAGCACCGGCUAACUACGUG